rnacentral:rRNA from 1 species
UAGUCCACGCCCUAAACGAUGUUUACUCGAUGUUUGGACUUCGGUUUGAGCAUCCAAGGGAAACCAUUAAGUAAACCACCUGGGGAGUACGUUCGCAAGAAUGAAACUCAAAGGAUUGACGGGGACCCGCACAAGCGGUGGAGCAUGUGGUUUAAUUCGAGGCAACGCGAAGAACCUUACCAGUCCUUGACAUACCUGUCGCGGGGCUCUUAACAGAGCCCCUUCAGCUCGGCUGGACAGUGUACAGGUGCUGCAUGGCUGUCGUCAGCUCGUGUCGUGAGAUGUUGGGUUAAGUCCCGCAACGAGCGCAACCCUCGCUUUUAGUUGCCAGCAUUUAGUUGGGCACUCUAAAAGAACUGCCAGUGUUAAACUGGAGGAAGGUGGGGAUGACGUCGAGUCUUCAUGGCCCUUAUGGGCUGGGCUACACACGUGCUACAAUGGCGAGUUCAAUGGGUCGCAACCUCGCGAGGGGAAGCUAAUCCUCAACACUCGUCCCAGUUCGGAUUGUUCUCUGCAA